rnacentral:rRNA from 1 species
UACGUAGGGGGCAAGCGUUGUCCGGAUUUAUUGGGCGUAAAGAGCGCGUAGGCGGCCAGGUAGGUCGGUUGUGAAAACUGGAGGCUCAACCUCCAGACGUCGACCGAAACCAUCUGGCUAGAGUCCGGAAGAGGAGAGUGGAAUUCCUGGUGUAGCGGUGAAAUGCGCAGAUAUCAGGAGGAACACCGGUGGCGAAGGCGGUUCUCUGGGCAUGUCCUGACGCUGAGGAGCGAAAGUGUGGGGAGCGAACAGG